ensembl:lncRNA
UAGAGGGGGAAGCACAGAGCUAAAAAUAAAACGAAAAGAUCAGUAUCUGUCAGUCUGACAGCUGAUUGGCUGCUCGGAGAUGCAUAUAAUUACCAGCAACUGGCGCUGGGUAGGCAAAGCCGGGAGAAACUGCUGAGACGAGCUCUGGGUGUCUCCCUUGAAGUCAGGCCCUGACUAUCUGGGUCUGUGAGCCCUAUGGGGGCAGGAACUGCAUGCCUGGCAAGGGCCUGGCCCAGAGCCCCUUGAGAAGACAGAUACCAGAUCCCUAUCAGGAGGAAGAGGAGAAGCCAGCUUGGACCACACUGCCCAGGCUUCCGGCAAGCAAUGGCCUCAGAUGGUGGGAGCCUCAGUACCUGCUGGGUACUGACCCUUUCCCUGUGCUGGGCAGAGCGGCUGCUGCUGGAUGCUAGGCACUAGAAAGCCCAGACUGACUACAGGAGACCCUGCUGGAGCUCCUAUUAAUGAUGAGAUGCAAAGGGCAGGUCGGGGAGGCAAGAGAAGGGUUCGCCCAGCUGUACCUGCCCAUCCUCAACACCUUAAAGCCAUUGUAUCAUUGUUGUUCAGUCGCUCAGUCAUGUUCAACUCUUCGAGACCCCAUGGACUGCAGCACGCCAGACUCCCCUGUCCUAUACCAUCUCCAGGAGUUUGCUCAAACUCAUGUCCAUUGAGUUCAUGAUGCCAUCCAACCAUCUCAUUGAGUCCCCACCAUACCUCGUUGGAGGCAGCGCUGUUGUACCCACAUUUUGCAAAUGAGCAAACUGCGGCCACAAAGCUAGUGAGGGCAGAGCCUGGACGUACCCCGUCCCCCCUCUCCUGCGGCCAAACCCAAUGGCCCCCGCCUCUCUGAGAAGGAUGACAGGGAGGUGCGGGGAACGGAGAUGUUUCGGUAGCAACUGCCGUGAGACCUUCUAGGCAGACACAUUGUCAUGGAGAGUCUUGAGAACGCUUUUUUGUGUGGUGUGCAAAGGAAUUCGCUUUUGGUGUCUCUGAGAGAUCGUCGGGAAGAUUUAAACUGCUUUGCAAUGAUUUGGGGAUGUCAGGCUGAUAUUGCUUUUGAACAUAACAUUGUGACGAGACUGGGCCCCAAGGCAGCCCAGUUUUAUUCAGGUUACGGUAAUAAUAGUCGCCACAGCAGCAACUAAAGCCAUUUUCACGGCCUGAGCACUCACCAUGGGCUCAGUGCCGGGCUCAGCCUUGAUUGGAUGCAAGCUCUCUCACCACCAGCUUGAGAGAGCGUUGACUCUCAUCCUCGGGGUAUUCCCUUAUAGCUGAUACCUAAACCUGUUUGUCUCCACACUCACUGUUUCCCCUGUGAGGCAGUGAGCUUGGUGAAGGCCCCAGUCUGGUCUCUCCCAUUCACUGCUGAGUCCCCAGUACCCAGCACCAGCUCCUCAAGGAGCAGCUGGACAUUAAAGCUUGGCUGGACACAUUUCAGAUGAAGAGGCUGAGGGUCAGAGAGGUCACAUAGCUUGCCAGGAGGGAAUCCUAGGUUUCUGUGGCUUGAGAGCCCAGAAUCACCAACUCACAUGGCAGCUUGAAAGACCCUCUUGAAAAGUCCCUGCCUCAAGAAAGCCACAGAGCACAAGUCUCCCCACCCUCACCCCCUGCCCCCUGGUCUCCACUCUUGUUCUAAACCCCAGGAGGCUUCUGACUUGAAUCUGCCCCCUCUGCACCUCUUGCUUGCUUCCCAGGGAAUUGGAUGGAAGGUAGUCUGAGUUAGCUCAGGCUUGGGGAAGCUGUAUUCUGCUGAAAUUGCCCAGUGUUUUGGGUGGGACGUGAUUCAGAUUUUCCUUCCUGGUCACAUUGGUUCCCACUUGAGAGGUCUUUGAAGUGGGGAUGACUUUACUGGGUGAUUCUUGGCCUGCUUAAUUCAUAGGCACACUUGAUCUUUGCUGCUCCUCUCUGGGAGGGGGCCCCUGGUUCUGAGGGGUUUAAGUCCCGCAGGGAGGCCAGGGGUUAUAAAUCCAAGAUGCUCUUGGUUAAGAGCUUGAUUCUGUCACUGAGUGAUCCUGGGAGCCUCAUUUGGCCUCUCUGAGCCUUGACUGACUCUUUCAUAAAAGGGAGACAUGCAUGGGGAAUAUCUAUCUUGAAUACUGGCUGUCGGUGGGGGAAAAAGAGGUCAAGUUUUCUUUUAUUUAUUUUGGGGCUGCACUGCGCCGCAUGUGGGAUCCUACUUCCCUGGCCAGGGAUCAAACCUGCACCCCCUGCAUUGGAAGCACAGAGUCUUAACCACUGGACCACCAGGGAAGCCCCAAGUGUUCUCUUUUGCAAAAAAAAAUCACAUUCUCCACAAGUCAUAGACUAUGUUUAUCCUGUACUUUAAGAAAUGUUAGUUUAGGGCUUCCCAGGGGGUUAAGAAUCUGCUGCCAAUGCACCGGACAAGGGUUCCAUCCCUGGUCCAGGAAGAUCCCACAUACCUCAGGGUAACUAAGCUGUGAGGCAAAACUACUGAAGUGUGCGCACUCUGGAGCCGCAUGCUCUGGAGCAAGCGAAGCCAACGCAAGGAGACGCCUGAGCACCAAAACUGUGGUGCGUGUUUUAAGACCAUGGUUAUGUUCCUGCCGAGAAGGAUCCGACUCUGAGGCAUUGUCAUUGAGGAUGUGGCAGACACGAGGGGUGGGGAGCUCAAGGCCAUUGCUUCGGAGCGAUGAGAGUUGGCGCUGCAGAGAGCAGGAACCAAAAUCUGAAGCCCCAGUGGUCCCCAGAUACACUGAGGUUCACGGCCAAACACGGGCCCAGAGCCCUGACCAGAACCACUGAUGGUGUGACUGGUGGGACCAGAGGGGACCCAAGGCAAACCAGCCCCCUCAGCCGGAAGAGGAGCUCAGAGAGGCCGGCCAUCUUGUCUUCGUAUAGGACACCAUCGGCCACACUCUGAAUAUCCGGCUGGAAGUGUUUUUGUUUUUAUAUUAGAUGCAACGAUCUAAUGUGCAGUAGGAGCCUACUC